rnacentral:lncRNA from 1 species
GGCGGAACACCCCCCCCCCACUCACCCCACCCCCGCUGAUGGGUGGCUGCUGUUCCUGAGGGAAGUCUUUGGCCUGCUUGUCAGUUGGAGCACAGCAAUGAUGCACAGAGUUCUUGGGAUGCUCAAACAGGAAAAAGAAUAGAAGAAUCAAGCAUCAACCUGAAAGGAUUUGCAGCAAAAUCUUGCACAAGGCUCUGACUGCCCUGGAAGGACAAGAACCAGCUGUGGGAUAAGUUGAGUCUUUGAACCCAACACUUUCAUCCUUUGUUCUUCAGAAGAAAACAGGCUGUCUGGGUACCAGGGAUUGAACUCCGGUUGUCAGGCUCGGCACCAAGUACCUUUACCCACUAAGCCAUCUGGAUGGACUCUUUUUAAGGCCUCAAAGACUUUGAUUUGAUCCUUAAAGCCACAGGACACACAGAUAACUCUUGCCCCAUUGAGACUAGGGUCUAAGAUUGCCUAUCUUCAAGAUCUCAGGGACAAGAGGGCGGAGGAGGGAGAGAUUGUCAUUACCCACAGAAAAGUCAGCCCAGUCCCUCUGAUGGGCCCCUGCGACCUGCAGCCAUGGCUCCAGGUGGGUGAAAAAGGCCUAAGGACCCAGAGCAAAUACAGCUAUUCUUGUUAACUGGCCUACCUCAUAGAAAAACAGUUCACAGUGGACCCGAGUCGAGCCUCAGAACCCAUGUUUAAAAACUAAAAUCAGAUCACUGGGCACAAGCCUGGAAUCCCCAUCUGGGAGGUAGAACCAAGAAGGUUCCCUGGAUUUACUGGCCAGCAAGUCUAGUUGAAUCUCAAGCUCUACGUUCAGUGAGAGACCCUGUCUCAAAAAUACAAGGUGUAGAGCAAUUGAGGAAGACUCCUGACAUUGACCUCUGGACUCUCCUGUGGACUUGCACAUGUGGGUUUCUCUGUGUAACAAGCCCUAGCUGUCCUCGAACUAGCUGUUGUACAACAGGUUGGCCUCGAAUUCACAGAGAUCGACCUGCCUCUGCCUCCCAGGUGCUGGGAUUACAAGUGUGUGCCACCACCAUCUGGCAGCAUGUAUAUUUUGAAUAUGAGUUUGGGCCAUAUAACUGUGCAGACUUACCCAGAACCCUUAAAGCCAGAAGUAAAAGGGGACAGAGAUGAACUCUUUCACUAUUUACAGAUGACUGCCUUCCUCACCAACAAAAAAAAUGUCUCCCAUGAGGGAUGAGAGUCAGGAAGGUCUGGGGAUGGAGGCUGCUGAAACACUCUCCCGGUGAUGGAACUCACACCCGAAGAGCUGUGAAAGAUGAAUCAUGUAUGCCAGAGCUUUGUAUGGAUGCCUUGAGAAUCUUGCCAGGAGAGGCCGUGAC